GCAAACUUGGUCAUUUAGAGGAAGUAAAAGUCGUAACAAGGUUUCCGUAGGUGAACCUGCGGAAGGAUCAUUAACGUAUCCGACGGCGGGGGUCGGAAGUGCCCCGCUCCGGCCGCCAAGGCCGUGCAGCGGGCGCCCGCCCCCGUUCGCACUCACAAACCCAAACUGUGCACCUUCACGGUGGAGGGCGGCGGCGAGAGCCGUUUGCCCAAAGCCGCAUGACUUUUAAACCCCAGUUCAAAAGAAUGUCGUGCGAACCUCGUGUCGCAAACAAACUGAAACAACUUUCAACAACGGAUCUCUUGGCUCUCGCAUCGAUGAAGAACGCAGC
rnacentral:misc_RNA from 1 species